UACGUAUGGAGCAAGCGUUAUCCGGAUUUACUGGGUGUAGAGGGAGCGCAGGCGGUCUGGCAAGUCUGAUGUGAAAGGCCGGGGCUCAACCCCGGGACUGCAUUGGAAACUGUCAGACUGGAGUGUCGGAGAGGUAAGCGGAAUUCCUAGUGUAGCGGUGAAAUGCGUAGAUAUUAGGAGGAACACCAGUGGCGAAGGCGGCUUACUGGACGAUGACUGACGCUGAGGCUCGAAAGCGUGGGGAGCAAACAGG
rnacentral:rRNA from 1 species